ensembl:snoRNA
GCCCAAUGAUGAGACGAUGGCAAACGUGAGCUGAAUGACUGAGAGAUUGUGUACUGGAGCUCACUGAUUGGUGGGUAAUCUUGGCUGAGCAGUGGAGAUUGACUGCUUUGCUGUAAGGGCCCACCUAUAGUCCAGCUAGCAACUAAUCAGAGUGUUUCCUUCUACCAAAGAAGUGGUUCUUGGAACGUGAUUGGUGGCUUACAGAGGGUGGUUGUGUGUUUUUGUUUGUGUGUGAGAGUGUGUGUAUAUGUGUCAGUGAGCUCAGAGUUACAAAUCUUUUCAUGGGUCACACAGCUUUGAGCAUGUUCUUUGGUAAUCUGAGGGCA